AAGUCGUAACAAGGUUUCCGUAGGUGAACCUGCGGAAGGAUCAUUAACACGUAUCCAACGUUAAACAACCCCGUGAACCUUCAGCCUGCUCUCGUAGCCCACGCGGCAACAGCAAUCCCGGUAAAUCAUUGACGACCAGUUUUGAUUCGGGACCUCUGUUACGAUGUGAGAAGUUACAGUUACGAUCGAGCGGUAGAGUCAGUGGCAUGGCGUCCCCAAGCAGAAUCCAGAGAAUGAAAGGAUCACUGGCUGCGCAAGGAUACAUGUCACAGGGUCCCCAUGCCCCUUACCUCACCCCAUUACUAAUGACUAGCUUAGCGGUAACGCGCUGAGUAAAAAAAAACCGAACAACUGUUAACAAUGGAUAUCUUGGUUCUC
rnacentral:misc_RNA from 1 species